rnacentral:rRNA from 1 species
AGCGAACGCUGGCGGCAGGCCUAACACAUGCAAGUCGAACGAAGCCUUCGGGCUUAGUGGCGGACGGGUGAGUAACACGUGGGAACGCACCUUUUGGUUCGGAAUAACGCAGAGAAAUUUGCGCUAAUACCGAAUGAGCCCUUCGGGGGAAAGAUUUAUCGCCGAAAGAUCGGCCCGCGUUGGAUUAGGUAGUUGGUGUGGUAAAGGCGCACCAAGCCUACGAUCCAUAGCUGGUCUGAGAGGAUGAUCAGCCACACUGGGACUGAGACACGGCCCAGACUCCUACGGGAGGCAGCAGUGGGGAAUCUUGCGCAAUGGGCGAAAGCCUGACGCAGCCAGGCCGCGUGAAUGAUGAAGGUCUUAGGAUUGUAAAAUUCUUUUACCAGGGACGAUAAUGACGGUACCUGGAGAAAAAGCCCCGGCUAACUUCGUGCCAGCCGCCGCCGUAA